ACUUGGUGAAGGGAUCGGGGCAGUGCUAAUAACUCACUCUUCGGGAAGGCAGAGCGUGGCUGAUGAGACAUAGGGUGCACUAUCCACAUCAAACCGAAUCAAAACUUUCCGACUCCUCUGUGCAAACUUGAAAGUGCCUGUGCUGUUUGUGCUACCGCUUAAAUGUCUGGAGAGGUGACAGAUCCCUUUUGAAACACCAGCAGCCUUUUGUGUUACGUUGAAUCUAACAAACAGGAGCGUACACAGUGACUGUCACAUGAGUUCCCCAAGGAUAAUGGACCCUAAGAUGCGAGAGACUGAAGGAGAUGGAGAGGACAAUUCAGGAAAGAAGAAAUCAAAGUUCAAGUCUUUCAAAAAGUUUUUUGGUAAGAAGAAAAGGAAAGAGUCAUCUUCUGGGAGCAGCACUCUGAAGUUGUUCCAGUCAACAAGUGAUGUUGCAGCCUCUCAUAACAUGCACGUUAAUUAUGAUUCUGAAGAUGAACUUGAGUAAGUCUUUGGACUCUGGUUGGUAAACAAAUACAGAACUGCUACAAUGUUUGUAGAUUAAAGACACCCUAGAAUUGC
rnacentral:lncRNA from 1 species